CCUGGUGUUGAUGACACACUUGCCCUCACUGAGAGCUUCGCUCACUUAUGAGAACUUCUUGUACUCAAAACUCUGAACUGGG
rnacentral:snoRNA from 1 species